UGAACGCUGGCGGCGUGCCUAAUACAUGCAAGUCGAGCGAAUGACGAGGAGCUUGCUUCUCUGAUUUAGCGGCGGACGGGUGAGUAACACGUGGGCAACCUGCCCUGUAGACUGGGAUAACUUCGGGAAACCGGAGCUAAUACCGGAUAAUUCUUUUAGCCUCAUGGCUUUAAGCUAAAAGGCGCUUCGGCGUCACUACAGGAUGGGCCCGCGGUGCAUUAGCUAGUUGGUGGGGUAACGGCCUACCAAGGCAACGAUGCAUAGCCGACCUGAGAGGGUGAUCGGCCACAUUGGGACUGAGACACGGCCCAAACUCCUACGGGAGGCAGCAGUAGGGAAUCUUCCACAAUGGACGAAAGUCUGAUGGAGCAACGCCGCGUGAGUGAUGAAGGUUUUCGGAUCGUAAAACUCUGUUGUAAGGGAAGAACAAGUGCGUUAGGUAAUGAACGCACCUUGACGGUACCUUAUUAGAAAGCCACGGCUAACUACGUGCCAGCAGCCGCGGUAAUACGUAGGUGGCAAGCGUUGUCCGGAUUUAUUGGGCGUAAAGCGCGCGCAGGUGGUUUCUUAAGUCUGAUGUGAAAGCCCACGGCUCAACCGUGGAGGGUCAUUGGAAACUGGGAGACUUGAGUGCAGAAGAGGAUAGUGGAAUUCCAAGUGUAGCGGUGAAAUGCGUAGAGAUUUGGAGGAACACCAGUGGCGAAGGCGACUGUCUGGUCUGUAACUGACACUGAGGCGCGAAAGCGUGGGGAGCAAACAGGAUUAGAUACCCUGGUAGUCCACGCCGUAAACGAUGAGUGCUAAGUGUUAGGGGGUUUCCGCCCCUUAGUGCUGCAGCUAACGCAUUAAGCACUCCGCCUGGGGAGUACGACCGCAAGGUUGAAACUCAAAGGAAUUGACGGGGGCCCGCACAAGCGGUGGAGCAUGUGGUUUAAUUCGAAGCAACGCGAAGAACCUUACCAGGUCUUGACAUCCCAAUGACCGUCUUAGAGAUAAGAUUUUCCCUUCGGGGACAUUGGUGACAGGUGGUGCAUGGUUGUCGUCAGCUCGUGUCGUGAGAUGUUGGGUUAAGUCCCGCAACGAGCGCAACCCUUAUU
rnacentral:rRNA from 1 species